CCUACGGGAGACAGCAGUGAGGAAUAUUGGUCAAUGGACGCAAGUCUGAACCAGCCAUGCCGCGUGCAGGAAGACGGCCCUAUGAGUUGUAAACUGCUUUUGUACGAGGGUAAACGCAGAUACGCGUAUCUGUCUGAAAGUAUCGUACGAAUAAGGAUCGGCUAACUCCGUGCCAGCAGCCGCGGUAAUACGGAGGAUUCAAGCGUUAUCCGGAUUUAUUGGGUUUAAAGGGUGCGUAGGCGGUCGGAUAAGUUAGAGGUGAAAUCCCGAGGCUCAACUUCGGAAUUGCCUCUGAUACUGUUCGGUAAAAGAGUAGGUGCGGUAGGAGGAAUGUAUGGUGGAGCGGGGAAAUGCUUAGAGAUCAUACAGAA
rnacentral:rRNA from 1 species